CAAGAACAGGGCUUGAUAUUUUACUUAAGAAAAAAAACUCAAAUGAUCAAGGUUUGAACUGUGAUUAUCAUUAUGCAGCCAUAUUUCUAGAACAAGCUGCUUUUACCAUCUUGAGAUUUCAAUGACCUUUUGAAAGAAAGCAUCUUCUCCAGUACAAGUUGUAACUUUUAUUUAUGGGAAAUUUUAAAAAGACUGUCACAUCCUUAGUCUGAUAAAUAGGUUGUGUGUGGCUUUAAAGGAAAUAAGAAAAAGCCUGCCAACAACCAGUGGGAUGUAAAAUAUAGACUGUUAAAAAAAGCAUGUCUCAAACCUUCACAAUGGUAAACACUUGGAAACCAAUGAACAACCCUUAGAUUGUAUUCUGACUGAUAGGUGUGAUUAAGGAAAAGAUGAAAGCUGAUGCUAUUCUACAAUACAGUUGUAGUAAAUUCUUAUAAUUUUAUGUUGUCUUGGCAUCCCUUUUAAAUGUAGGUUUAACUUUCUCAUACCAAAAGCAGGGCUCAGUCACCCUUGAUGCAAUUUCCGGUGCUAUACCACACCCAAAUGGCUCAAGCUGGUGGCCAGAGAUAAGAACUCAGAAGCAUCUCUGCCACCUGCCUGACUGGACUCCUCGUGUUCCCAGCGUGCCCUUUAAGUGGGCCAUUCAGGCAUUUACCUGGGAAUUUAAAGUGACACACACCCUGUUCCCUUGUACAAACUACUAGCUGCCAUGCAUUCUCCAUCUCUGCCUGACUUUUCAAUCCUUCCUUGCAUAACCCAGGGAUGAAGCACUUCUCCGCAUCGCACCCUGACUCAUUAUGCUGUCCUUGCCCAGGAUCUGAAUACUUUUUUGAUUAUUUAGUCUGGUAACUAUCAGCAUAUCAAAGAAGAUGUGAAAAGAAGCACUUUGAAGCUACAAGAACUCCACUGCAGCCUAGGCAGAGUGCAAAGAUACUUCGCUGUGGGAUGGAAAACAAUUCAAGGCUAAUUAUCAGAGUCCUCUUCAACACUGCAGUAUAUCCAGAAAUUACCCAGGGAACACGUAGACGGAUGCCAAGGGGGAGCUGAAUAUUCAGGGAACCCUGAAGAGAAUAUUUGAAUUGUUAUAUCCAGUUGUUCAUCUACUUGUUUUAUACAAUUGCAUGAGCAAUCACUUGCAGGUGAGCUACUCAUGCAGCACAAUGUGGGAGGCGACAGAGUGGCAUGAGUGGGGCAAUUACCUUCUCUCCUGGAGACUUUUAUGGUGUAGAUUUCUUGUGCCCCUAAUCAGAACAUUGCAAACCCUAGGGAAGCAUUGGGGACAGACCCUUAGCAAAAUGUCCCGUUAUUUUCAGCAAGGCAGUGAACUAAUGGGGGCAAGGGGAGCAGAGGGAGCAUUCUGUUCCAGGGCAAUCAAAGGAGGCUUUGUCUGCAGGGAAUUUAAAAAUAAAUUCCAAAAGCUCAGUUGGUUUAUCUGGUACCAGCAAUUCUAAACAAUGUCAGUGAUUAAAGACUCUUUUGACAGGCAGAGGACUCGAUUUCUUCCCACCCCUAUUCUCUCAGUCCCUCACUGUCAGCCACUGCUGUGCUGCUGUGAAGAUAUUCAAUGCUGUGUUACCCUUGUCUUCUUUGGAUUUACCUGAGCCUGUGCUGCCCUGGGCUGUGGUUUCUAACCAGAAAUUACUGUAGGUAGCAUAGGUAGAAUUGAGUGUGUAUAGGCCAGGCAUGGUGGCUCACGUCUGUAAUCCCAGCACUUUGGGAGGCCGAGGUGGGCAGAUCAC